rnacentral:rRNA from 1 species
UACGGGGGGGGCAAGCGUUGUUCGGAAUUACUGGGCGUAAAGGGCUCGUAGGCGGCCAACUAAGUCAGACGUGAAAUCCCCAGGCUUAACCUGGGAACUGCGUCUGAUACUGGAUGGCUUGAAUUCGGGAGAGGGAUGCAGAAUUCCAGGUGUAGCGGUGAAAUGCGUAGAUAUCUGGAGGAAUACCGGUGGCGAAGGCGGCAUCCUGGACCGAGAUUGACGCUGAGGCGCGAAAGCUAGGGGAGCAAACGGG